rnacentral:rRNA from 1 species
UACAGAGGGGGCAAGCGUUGUUCGGAAUUAUUGGGCGUAAAGGGCGCGUAGGCGGCCUGGCAAGUGGAAGGUGAAAUCCCUCGGCUUAACCGAGGAACUGCCCUCCAAACUGCUUGGCUUGAGUCCGGGAGAGGUGAGUGGAAUUCCCAGUGUAGCGGUGAAAUGCGUAGAUAUUGGGAAGAACACCGGUGGCGAAGGCGGCUCUCUGGACCGUAACUGACGCUGAGGCGCGAAAGCCAGGGGAGCAAACGGG